CCUACGGGUGGCAGCAGUGGGGGAUAUUGCACAAUGGGGGAAACCCUGAUGCAGCGACGCCGCGUGGGUGAAGAAGCGCCUCGGCGCGUAAAGCCCUGUCAGCAGGGAAGAAAAUGACGGUACCUGAAGAAGAAGCCCCGGCUAACUACGUGACAGCAGCCGCGGUAACAUGUAGGGGGCAAGCGUUAUCCGGAUUUACUGGGUGUAAAGGGGGCGCAGGCGGGGUUGCAAGCCAGGAGUGAAAGCCCGGGGCCCAACCCCGGGACUGCUCUUGAAACUGCGUGGCUAGAGUGCAGGAGGGGCAGGCGGAAUGCCUGGUGUAGCGGUGAAAUGCGUAGAUAUCAGGAGGAACACCGGUGGCGAAGGCGGCCUGCUGGACUGCAACUGACGUUGAGGCCCGAAAGCGUGGGGAGCAAACAGGAUUAGAUACCCCAGUAGUC
rnacentral:rRNA from 1 species